AUUGAACGCUGGCGGAAUGCUUUACACAUGCAAGUCGAACGGCAGCACGGGCAACCUGGUGGCGAGUGGCGAACGGGUGAGUAAUACGAUCGGAACGUGCCCAAUCGUGGGGGAUAACGUAGCGAAAGUUACGCUAAUACCGCAUACGAUCUACGGAUGAAAGCGGGGGAUCGCAAGACCUCGCGCGAAUGGAGCGGCCGAUGUCAGAUUAGGUAGUUGGUGGGGUAAAAGGCUCACCAAGCCGACGAUCUGUAGCUGGUCUGAGAGGACGACCAGCCACACUGGGACUGAGACACGGCCCAGACUCCUACGGGAGGCAGCAGUGGGAAUUUUGGGACAAUGGGCGCAAGCCUGAUCCAGCCAUUCCGCGUGCAGGAUGAAGGCCUCGG
rnacentral:rRNA from 1 species